AGAAACGGGAACCACGUGACCCCGCAACUCCACAUCUGCAUGUAGACCCGGGAGAGCGGGAAACGGGGACCUGGGUGUGCUUGCACCGGAACGUUUGCAGCAGCCCAGAGGUGGGGACAGCCCAGAUGAACAGACCAGGUGUGCUCACCCAUGAGCAUUACGCAGCCGCAAAGAGGAGCGAGGCCCCGACGCUCAGAUGAGCCUUGAGAACCUGAUGCCCAGUGAACCCGCCAGACACAGAGGGCACCGGUCCUGCGAUGCCGUCUCUGGAAUGUCCAGAACAGGGAAACCCACAGAGACGCUGGGCAGGGAGAAGGUGGACGGCUCUCGGGGCUGCUGGCAGGAACAGGGAGAGCGGGCAUGACGGCUCACAGGUCCAGAAGGUUCUCUGGCGGGUGAUGAAAAUAUCUGGAAUUAGGCAGAGAUGCUGGUUGUGCGUGUGGCCAAUGUGUUACGUGCACCACACUGCUGACCUUUAAGUGGUUAAUUUUAUGUAAAUGUCAACUUCACCUCAAUGUUUUGAAAUACAGCAAAGCAAAGC
rnacentral:lncRNA from 10 species